rnacentral:rRNA from 1 species
CAUGUCUUUUUGAUAAUAAUUUCAAGUCUGGUCUGCUCAAUGAUAAAUUAAAUUGCCGCAGUAUUUUGACUGUGCAAAGGUAGCAUAAUAAUUAGUUUCUUAAUUAGGAGCUUGUAUGAAAGAUUGGACGAGAGGGUUACUGUCUCUUUUUAAUUGUUGUAUAAUUUUAUUAUUAAGUUAAAAAGCUUAAAUUUUUUUAAAAGACGAGAAGACCCUAUAGAGUUUAAUAUAUUUAAAUUAUUGAGUUAUUAGAAAUUUUAAUAGUUUAAUUUAUUUAAUUGGGGUGAUUAAAAGAUUAAAAUAAUUCUUUUAUUAUUUAAUUGAUGAUUAUUAAAUUUAAAUUCUUAAUUUUUGAAGAUUAAAAUAAAUUACCUUAGGGAUAACAGCGUAAUUUUUCUAUAAAGUUCUUAUUAAAAGAAGAGUUUGCGACCUCGAUGUUGGAUUAAAAUUAAUUUUUGGUGAAGAAGCUAAAAAAUUAGGUCUGUUCGACCUUUAAAAUUUUACAUGAUCUGAGUUUAAACCGGUGUAAGCCAGGUUGGAUUCUAUCUUUAAUUUUAUAGAGUUUUUUAGUACGAAAGGACCAAAUACUUAUUAAAUAUUAAUUA